AUUGAACGCUGGCGGCAUGCUUUACACAUGCAAGUCGGACGGCAGCGGGGUAGUGCUUGCACUACUGCCGGCGAGUGGCGAACGGGUGAGUAACAUAUCGGAACGUACCGAGCAGUGGGGGAUAACUAAUCGAAAGAUUAGCUAAUACCGCAUAUAUUCUGAGGAAGAAAGCAGGGGACCUUUGGGCCUUGCGCUGUUUGAGCGGCCGAUAUCUGAUUAGCUGGUUGGUGGGGUAAAGGCCUACCAAGGCGACGAUCAGUAGCGGGUCUGAGAGGAUGAUCCGCCACACUGGGACUGAGACACGGCCCAGACUCCUACGGGAGGCAGCAGUGGGGAAUUUUGGACAAUGGGGGCAACCCUGAUCCAGCCAUGCCGCGUGUCUGAAGAAGGCCUUCGGGUUGUAAAGGACUUUUGUCCGGGAAGAAAAGCGCGAUGUUAAUACCAUUGCGUGCUGACGGUACCGGAAGAUAAGCACCGCUAACUAC
rnacentral:rRNA from 1 species